GACGAACGCUGGCGGCGUGCUUAACACAUGCAAGUCGAACGAUGAAGCAGAGAAACGCGCACUUCGGUUCAAAUUUCACUUCGGAUUAGUGGCAGACGGGUGAGUAACGCGUGAGCAACCUACCUCUUACAAAGGGAUAGCCUCGGGAAACCGUGAUUAAUACCAUAUGACACAUUCAUAAGGCAUCUUAAGAAUGUUAAAGCUACGGCGGUAAGAGAUGGGCUCGCGUCCCAUUAGCUAGUUGGUGAGGUAACGGCCCACCAAGGCGACGAUGGGUAACCGGCCUGAGAGGGUGAACGGUCACAUUGGAACUGAGACACGGUCCAAACUCCUACGGGAGGCAGCAGUGGGGAAUAUUGCACAAUGGAGGGAACUCUGAUGCAGCGACGCCGCGUGAGCGAUGAAGGAAUUCGUGUCGUAAAGCUCUGUUCUAUGGGAAGAAAAGGACUGUACCAUAGGAGAAAGCCCCGGCUAAAUACGUG
rnacentral:rRNA from 1 species